GAACUGCGAUAAGUCAUGUGAAUUGCAGAAUUCCGUGAAUCAUCGAACUCUUGAACGCAAAUUGCACUUGGGUGUUGAAUCCAAGUGUGUCUGCUCGAGUGUCGGCAAUAAAUACUCAUCUGAAAAUGGAUGAUAUUGAAAGUUCAGUGAUGCUGAUCUUUUUAAAGAGAUGGAGCCUAUUUAUUUGAUUAUGCAAAUCGAAUAAAUACUAAUCGGGCAUUGUAAAUUAAGUAGUCAUAUUCUACUAUUCUUACAUUGCUACGUAUUUAUUGAUUGUAGAUCGAUGAGUAAGUGUCUCCUUUAGUCUGAGAACUUGAUCGUUCAAAGACUAUUAAUCUAAUCCUCGACCUCGAAUUAGACAAGAUUACCCGGUGGACUUAAGCAUAUUAUUAACCGGAGGAAAAGAAACUAACAAGGAUGCCCUGAGUAAC
rnacentral:misc_RNA from 1 species